GCCAACCUUCUAGCCCCAACCUUCUCUAUGAAACUACCAAAACUUUAUUUACCAAUCAAAACAUUCUAACGAACUAGUAAAGGAGAUUGAAAAAUCCUUAGGAGCUACAAAAAUAGUACCGCAAGGGAAAGAUGAAAUAAAAAUGAAACAACUCUUAAGCAAAAAAUAGUAGAGAACAGCCCUCGUACCUUUUGCAUCAUGGUUUAACUAGUCUAAUCAAGCAAAAAGACCUUCAGUUUGACCCCCCGAAACUAAACGAGCUACUUUGAGGCAGCUUAAUGAGCCAACCCGUCUCUGUUGUAAAAGAGUGGGAAGACCUCUAAGUAGAGGUGACAGACCUACCGAGUUUAGUGAUAGCUGGUUGCUUAAGAAAAGGACCUUAGUCCACACUAAAUUGACUUUUAUGUAAAAAAAUUCCUCCCCUGAUUUAGACCCACUCAAGUAAGGUACAGCCUACUUGAAAAAGGACACAACCUUCUAAUAUGGGUAAUAAAUGCAACUUUUACCACCAAGUGGGCCUAAAAGCAGCCACCUUUAGUAAUAGCGUCAUAGCUUAAUCGUUAACGAGCCAAAUCACACUCCCCAUGUAAAACCCUACACCACUAUUAAGCAAUUCCAUACCAUUAUGGAAAAUUUUAUGUUAAAACUAGUAACAAGAAGUCCACUUCUCUUUAAUGUAAACUCACAUCAGACUGGACCAACCACUGAUAAAUAACACCCUUAACUUAGUAGUAGUAACUAAUCAAGAAAAUCCUACUCCAUCUAGUGUUAACCUAACACAAGAGCAUUACAAGAAAGAUUAAAAGAAAAAGAAGGAACUCGGCAAACAUUGACCCCGCCUGUUUACCAAAAACAUCGCCUCUUGCCUCAAAUAAGAGGUCCAGCCUGCCCAGUGACACUGUUCAACGGCCGCGGUAUCCUAACCGUGCGAAGGUAGCGUAAUCACUUGUUCUUUAAAUGAGGACUAGUAUGAAAGGCAUCACGAGAGUCAUACUGUCUCCUUUUUCCAAUCAGUUAAACUAAUCUCCCCGUGAAGAAGCGAGGAUAAUUCUAUAAGACGAGAAGACCCUAUGGAGCUUUAAACAAAUAACACUUGCCUACCCCCUCCUUUAAUUUCAGAAAAAUCUCCCACUUUGACAUGAUACUUACAAGUUUUUGAUUGGGGUGAUCACGGAACAAAAAACAACCUCCGCAAUGAAAGACACUCCCCUAACUAAGUUAAGAACUACAGCUCUAUACAUCAACAAAUUGACACUAAUUGACCCAAUAUAUUGAUCAAUGAACCAAGUUACCCUAGGGAUAACAGCGCAAUCUACUUCAAGAGCUCCUAUCGACAAGUAGGUUUACGACCUCGAUGUUGGAUCAGGGUAUCCUAAUGGUGUAGCCGCUAUUAAAGGUUCGUUUGUUCAACGAUUAAAACCCUACGUGAUCUGAGUUCAGACCGGAGUAAUCCAGGUCAGUUUCUAUCUAUAAAGAGCUUUCUCUAGUACGAAAGGACCGAAAAAGCACAGCCAAUGCCCCAGCAAGCCGUUAAAAUUCUCUUAUGAACCCAUCUAAAUUAACAAUCUCUUACCAAACUCAAAAACAGAGUA
rnacentral:rRNA from 1 species